AACGAACGCUGGCGGCAGGCUUAACACAUGCAAGUCGAACGGACGUAGCAAUACGUUAGUGGCAGACGGGUGAGUAACGCGUGGGAAUAUGCCCUAUGGUUUGGAAUAACUCAGGGAAACUUGAGCUAAUACCGGAUAAGCCCGAAAGGGGAAAGAUUUAUCGCCAUUGGAGUAGCCCGCGUCUGAUUAGCUAGUUGGUGAGGUAAUGGCUCACCAAGGCGACGAUCAGUAGCUGGUCUGAGAGGAUGAUCAGCCACACUGGGACUGAGACACGGCCCAGACUCCUACGGGGGGCAGCAGUGGGGAAUAUUGGACAAUGGGGGCAACCCUGAUCCAGCCAUGCCGCGUGAGUGAUGAAGGCCUUAGGGUUGUAAAACUCUUUUGUCCGGGAAGAUAAUGACUGUACCGGAAGAAUAAGCCCCGGCUAACUUCGUGCCAGCAGCCGCGGUAAGAC
rnacentral:rRNA from 1 species